GUACACGCUGUGACUAGCAUAUCAAUAAGCGGAGGAAAAGAAACUAACAAGGAUUCCCCUAGUAACGGCGAGUGAAGCGGGAAGAGCUCAAAUUUGAAAUCUUAAAGGGUUUCCCUUUACGAAUUGUAGUUUAAAGAAGUGAUUUUCUGUUGAGGUUUUGGUAAAAGUUCUUUGGAAUAGGACAUCAUAGAGGGUGAGAAUCCCGUAUUUGACCUUUACUUUCAACUUUGUGAUACACUUUCAAAGAGUCGGAUUGUUUGGGAAUGCAGUCCAAAAUGGGUGGUAAAUUUCAUCUAAAGCUAAAUAUUGGCGAGAGACCGAUAGCGAACAAGUACCGUGAGGGAAAGAUGAAAAGAACUUUGAAAAGAGAGUUAAACAGUACGUGAAAUUGUCAAAAGGGAAGCGUUUGACACCAGUGUUGUUUUUCUGAAAAUCAAUUAAAGAACUGUUUAUGCUAAGUUGUUUAGACUUUAUCAGCUAACUGUUUAGUUUUGAGCUUUUCUUUAAUGCACUUUUCAGUUAACAAGUCAACAUCAAUUUCUUUUGCUGUAAAAAAGCUUGAGGAAGGUGGCUUGAGAUUCGUCUUAAGUGUUUAUAGCCUCUUGCCUAUGCAGUCGGAGAGAUUGAGGUCUGCAGCGUAGAUCCUUCGGGGCUAAAUGCAUUUGUGCUAAGUUAUAGCAUUUUAUAGACAACUUGUUGACUAUGAUUUGUCUUGUAGCUUACUCGCUUAUGUUAUUUUACCUACGCUUAGGAUGUUGAAGAUGUAGCACAUCAU
rnacentral:rRNA from 1 species